UACAGAGGGGGCAAGCGUUGUUCGGAAUUACUGGGCGUAAAGGGAGCGUAGGCGGCUCUGUCAGUCCCUUGUGAAAUCCCCCGGCUCAACUGGGGAACUGCACGGGAAACAGCAGGGCUUGAGUUCGGGAGAGGGAAGCGGAAUUCCGGGUGUAGCGGUGAAAUGCGUAGAUAUCCGGAGGAACACCGGUGGCGAAGGCGGCUUCCUGGACCGAUACUGAUGCUGAGGCGCGAAAGCUAGGGGAGCAAACGGG
rnacentral:rRNA from 1 species